rnacentral:lncRNA from 11 species
CUAAAUUUCAUUAACGUGCUGUUUUCUAGCAGUUAUCAGAUUAUUAAAGGUGCUAAAUUAGGGAAGUCAGAGAGCCAAUUCCUUUAAGACCCCACUACACAGCUGCCUCGGAGAAGAUACAGUCUUGCAGUCACAGGAAGUGAUUAUUAAUCAUUUUUACAGCACCUCAGCGCACAAAGUGCGAUGUAAUCCCUGUCUCAGUCAUAUGUACAAUAAAGCUUCUAAGCAGGAACCCAUUUGGAAAAAAAUACGAUAUGGAAAUAUGCCUGAAGUGAUCAAAUACUGCCUGCAAACUUGAAAUGCUGCAAAAUAGAAAAUCUGAAGGUAACAGAAAAUGUUUAGCUAAAAUAUUGCUGGAUUGCACAUUUCACUUAAGCUCACUCUUUGUUAUCGG